rnacentral:rRNA from 1 species
GACGAACGCUGGCGGCGUGCUUAACACAUGCAAGUCGAACGGAAAGGCCCUGCUUUUGUGGGGUGCUCGAGUGGCGAACGGGUGAGUAACACGUGAGUAACCUGCCCUUGACUUUGGGAUAACUUCAGGAAGCUGGGGCUAAUACCGGAUAGGAGCUCCUGCUGCAUGGUGGGGGUUGGAAAGUUUCGGCGGUUGGGGAUGGACUCGCGGCUUAUCAGCUUGUUGGUGGGGUAGUGGCUUACCAAGGCUUUGACGGGUAGCCGGCCUGAGAGGGUGACCGGCCACAUUGGGACUGAGAUACGGCCCAGACUCCUACGGGAGGCAGCAGUGGGGAAUAUUGCACAAUGGGCGGAAGCCUGAUGCAGCAACGCUGCGUGCGGGAUGACGGCCUUCGGGUUGUAAACCGCUUUCGCCUGUGACGAAGCGUGAGUGACGGUAAUGGGUAAAGAAGCACCGGCUAACUACGUG